rnacentral:rRNA from 1 species
GACGAACGCUGGCGGCGUGCUUAACACAUGCAAGUCGAACGGAAAGGCCCUGCUUGCAGGGUGCUCGAGUGGCGAACGGGUGAGUAACACGUGGGUGAUCUGCCCCUUACUUUGGGAUAAGCCUGGGAAACUGGGUCUAAUACUGGAUAGGACCAUGCUGUAGGUGGUGUGGUGGAAAGAUUAGUUUCGGUAAGGGAUGAGCUCGCGGCCUAUCAGCUUGUUGGUGGGGUAAUGGCCUACCAAGGCGUCGACGGGUAGCCGGCCUGAGAGGGUGGACGGCCACAUUGGGACUGAGAUACGGCCCAGACUCCUACGGGAGGCAGAAGUGGGGAAGAUUGCACAAUGGGCGCAAGCCUGAUGCAGCGACGCCGCGUGGGGGAUGACGGCCUUCGGGUUGGAAACUCCUUUCAGCCAUGACGAAGCCCUUGUGGUGACGGUAGUGGUAGAAGAAGCACCGGCUAACUACG